rnacentral:rRNA from 1 species
AGGAAUAUUGGUCAAUGGGCGGGAGCCUGAACCAGCCAAGUCGCGUGAGGGAUUAAGGCCCUACGGGUCGUAAACCUCUUUUGCCGGGGAGCAGGGCGGCGGACGUGUCCGCCGUUUGAGAGUACCCGGAGACAAAGCAUCGGCUAACUCCGUGCCAGCAGCCGCGGUAAUACGGAGGAUGCGAGCGUUAUCCGGAUUUAUUGGGUUUAAAGGGUGCGUAGGCGGGCUUUUAAGUCAGCGGUAAAAAUUCGGGGCUCAACCCCGUCCGGCCGUUGAAACUGGGGGCCUUGAGUGGGCGAGAAGAAGGCGGAAUGCGUGGUGUAGCGGUGAAAUGCAUAGAUAUCACGCAGAACCCCGAUUGCGAAGGCAGCCUUCCGGCGCCCUACUGACGCUGAGGCACGAAAGUGCGGGGAUCGAACAGGA